AGAACGAACGCUGGCGGCGUGGAUAAGACAUGCAAGUCGAACGAAGUAUUUUUGUAGCAAUACCGAAAUGCUUAGUGGCAAACGGGUGCGUAACACGUAGGUUACAUUCCGGAAAGUGAGGGAUAGCCCAGGGAAACUUGGAUUAAUACCUCAUGUGAUCGCAAGAUCAAAGGUGCAAACCGCUUUCCGAUUGGCCUGCGCCCUAUCAGCUAGUUGGUGAGGUAAUGGCUCACCAAGGCAACGACGGGUAGCUGGUCUGAGAGGACGACCAGCCACACUGGAACUGAGACACGGUCCAGACACCUACGGUGGCAGCAGUCGAGAAUCUUUCACAAU
rnacentral:rRNA from 1 species